AUAAAAUCUACCCAUUGUAGUUAAAUAAAAUUUAAGCAUUAUAUUUAUCUAAUCCCAAAUGGAGAGAAUAUUGAGUUAAUUCAAAUUAAUGUAAUCGGGCUAAUUUUAAUUGAAAAGCACUUCCUGUCGAAGUGAGCCUUUUUAUUUAAAAAAUGCAGCAGGCCUACAAGGCAUUUGAAGAGAGUAGGCUACAGACAGUGAAUGUUCGUUUUCUUCCACAUUGCUCAUCUUGCAAAAUUUGACUGGUUGACUUAGGUAAGAAAACUUAUUUUGUUAUCACUGGGCUACUAAGAAAAACGCAUGUAGUAGUAUAUUACAAUAUAAAAUGAGUUAUCACAGAAAAAGAGACUCAGCAGCAACACAAAGUUGGCUUCUGUUGGAAGGCUAUGUGAUGUUGUUGCGCUAUAAUAUUGACACAGCAUCAUACAUUUUGGAAGAAUUCUUAUGUAUCGAAGUCAAAUGUUUAUUUUGAAGGAUGUGGGUUACCUUUUUCUCUAUCAUGGUUCCUAGGUCUUUUGUGUGUUAAUAUCAUAUCCUAAGUAUGUUUUGUAUGAAAUUGCGUAAAUAAGUACAUCGCGUUUAAUUUUAAGGUUCCAUAAAGCGCAAUAUUUGGGGUUUUCGCUGGAUGAGGAUCUUAUAUUUCAGACGGCACUUGACGCAGUUCCGUUGGCUUUACUUCUCGUGUGUGGAGCUCGUCUUCCAGAGACAGGUAACUUAACUUCUCUCUUUGUUUCACUGUUUUGUAAGUUAACUUAGCUAAAUCCACGUGAAGUCAGUCUAUUAACAGUGUUAUGUUUAAGAGCCACAAUUUUAUUUAUUUUCAUGAAUAAAUCUGUUAAUUUUAAUGUGGUAAUCUUACAUUGGCACAAACUCUAUAAUUUUACAGCUAAACCGUACACUAAAAAUUGAAAAAAAAUAUUCAUACUUUGAUUAAUAAUUAGUCUAACACGUUUUUUUUUCUCCCACAAAGUUUCAAUAAUGUCAUUAAAAUCUUUAAAAUUACAUUAACUCUUCCUCAUUUACAAUUCCAGAAUGAUUAAAUUGGCAAAUAUUGUGGAAGAGGACUUCAGUACUCUGACAGUGGCAAAAAGUAUUGAAUGUUAGACAGUUUAUAUGAAAGAGGUUUAAAAGGCUAAGAACUGAUGUGAUAUCUUUGUCGCCUUUGUGUUUCAGAUCAAUGCAGAAUUUCAAAGAACAACUACUGUACUUCUGGUACCGAAAUGUAUGUCUGUGUUUGACUGUCACACUCCCAAGCUACUGACGCCAUUUUGUGCCAAAGAUGGAGCACUUGGAAGAAGACUGGAGAUCAUAAUGGAAAUGCUGCAGUGAUUGACUUCCUCCCCAGCACUCUUCGAUUGAGAUGACCAGAGAGAUUGUUCCUCGGUAUCUUACAAAAAAUACCUUGGAGAACAAGGGGGACAUCUUAUCAAAGAAUUCAACGACACUGAGAACUUGGAGGAACUUGAACAGCUCAUAAUGGCCAUUAAUGUGACCCCAAAGCGUGGAGCUUCUACAAGCAACUGCCCAAAGAACAUUGGGAUCCUCAUUAAGGGCGUGGAAGUCAUCACAGGACUUGGAGAUAUUGCAAGGGCUUGCAUUGUCCUCUUUGGCUUGACCUACGUGCUGAAUCUUGAUUAUCCCAGACUACUGAAGUACACCUUUGAGGUGUUCCAAUUUUUUUUUCUUGGAACUGGAUGAUUCAAAGCUUUCUAACAAAGUCCAGUCCCUCAAGAACAAACUUCAGGCUUGAAAUGGGACUGUAUUGCAGUGCAGACUUUUGUGCUACACAAUGUUCAUCUUCUACAGAGCUUGGGAAAUGCACAUUUGAAAGUGCUAUGUUUGUAAGUUGGCACUGUUUUGUCCAAAAAAUGUCGUACAUUUCAAUUGUUGUAAAUUCAAAGUACAAAUGUAUUUUACUCAGUACAAUUUGCACUUUUAUUAUUUAUGUUUUGGCCAUUAUGGAGUAUUUUUCUUUAAGAUCUUUACUGCUCCUUUUUUUUAAGUUGAAGUCAGCAUUUUGUCCUUUUCAAAGUUCUGAAAAAGUUUGAAAUGCUUGAGCAAACUUCUGGCUUGAAAAAAGAGACAGUAGUAGUUGCAGUGUACAUGAUUUGCUACACAAUGUUUAGCUUCUACAGAGCUUGGGAAUUACACAUCUGAAAGUGUUAUGUUUGUAAGUUAGCACUGA